ensembl:snRNA U6 U6 spliceosomal RNA
GUGCUAGCUUCGGCAGCAAAUAUACUAAACUUGGAACGAUACAGAGAUUAGCAUGGCCCCUGUGCAAGGAUGACAAACAGAUUCGUGAAGUGUUUCAUAUUAAA